rnacentral:lncRNA from 1 species
CCAACUGGUUCGACAAAAUCAUCAUCACUAUCAUGUUGACUUGUUUCUUUAUUUCUGAUGAUAACAUUUUUAGACUUUCCAACUAAACUGCCUAAAUCCAACUCAUUAAUCUCCUUCGCAGUUGGAGUAAUUUUCUUCAGUUGCAACUACAAACAACCAAAAAUGUUAGAAAAUGGCAGAUACACAAAUAAUAUACAUGGAAAGUGAAAAAUAAGAAACAAAUACAUACCUGAACAGAGUCAAGCGAAAGAGUUGUAUAAAAUUCAUCAAACCUUCCAGAAUAAUCCGUUGUCCAGUUGAGCAUACGAGGAAUGGAGCUUCCAUUAUGCUCAC